UACGUAGGGACCGAGCGUUGUCCGGAAUCAUUGGGCGUAAAGAGCGUGUAGGCGGCCCGCUAAGUCUUGCGUGAAAUCUCGGGGCUCAACCCCGAGCGGUCGUGAGAAACUGGCGGGCUAGAGUGCGGGAGAGGAGAGUGGAAUUCCUGGUGUAGCGGUGAAAUGCGCAGAUAUCAGGAAGAACACCCGUGGCGAAGGCGGCUCUCUGGAACGCAACUGACGCUGAGACGCGAAAGCGUGGGGAGCAAACAGG
rnacentral:rRNA from 1 species